CGUGUAGGUGGCUAAGUAAGUUAGGUGUGAAAUCCUCCCGCUUAACGGGAGAAGUGCACUUAAAACUACUUAGCUAGAGUACGAGAGAGGAAGGUGGAAUUCCUGGUGUAGAGGUGAAAUUCAUAGAUAUCGGGAAGAACACCGGUGGCGAAGGCGGCCUUCUGGCUCGAUACUGACGCUGAGACGCGAAAGCGUGGGGAGCAAACAG
rnacentral:rRNA from 1 species